ACGCAAGUAUGAUGGGGUGGCACAGACCAGGGGGUAGCGACUGUUUAUCAAAAACACAGGGCUCUGCGAAGUCGCAAGACGACGUAUAGGGUCUGACGCCUGCCCGGUGCUGGAAGGUUAAGAGGAGGGGUGCAAGCUCUGAAUCGAAGCCCCAGUAAACGGCGGCCGUAACUAUAACGGUCCUAAGGUAGCGAAAUUCCUUGUCGGGUAAGUUCCGACCUGCACGAAUGGCGUAACGACUUCCCCGCUGUCUCCAACAUAGACUCAGUGAAAUUGAAUUCCCCGUGAAGAUGCGGGGUUCCUGCGGUCAGACGGAAAGACCCCGUGCACCUUUACUAUAGCUUUACACUGGCAUUCGUGUCGGCAUGUGUAGGAUAGGUGGUAGGCUUUGAAGCGGGGACGCCAGUUCUCGUGGAGCCAUCCUUGAAAUACCACCCUUAUCGUCAUGGAUGUCUAACCGCGGUCCGUCAUCCGGAUCCGGGACAGUGUAUGGUGGGUAGUUUGACUGG
rnacentral:rRNA from 1 species